rnacentral:misc_RNA from 1 species
UCCGGUUUAACACCGGCAGUCUCUCCAGAGUGCUCAGCCGAACUGGUCGCAACUGAAGAUAAGGGUUUCGCUCGUUAUGGGACUUAACCCGACAUCUCACGACACGAGCUGACGACAGCCAUGCAGCACCUGUACCAGGCUCUACCCUUGCGGGCAUUCGUCCCCGUUUCCGGGUUCUACUACCUGGCGCUUUCGCACAUGUCAAGUCUAGGAUAAGGUUCUUCGCGUAGCCUCGAAUUAAGCCACAUGCUCCACCGCUUGUGUGAGCCCCCGUCAAUUUCUUUGAGUUUCAGCCUUGCGACCAUACUCCCCAGGCGGGGUACUUAGCACUUUAGCUUCGACAGUAAGCCCAUAUCUAGCCUACUAUCUAGUACCCAUCGUUUAGGGCUAGGACUAC